GGGGGGAUGAGCUGUGGGUAGGGGUGAAAGGCCAAUCAGACUCCGUGAUAGCUGGUUCUCCCCGAAAUGCAUUUAGGUGCAGCGUCCCGUGUUGCCCGGCGGAGGUAGAGCUACUGGGUGGCUGAUGGGCCCCACAGGGUUACUGACGUCAGCCAAACUCCGAAUGCCGUUUGGGUGUGAGCGGGGCAGUGAGACGGCGGGGGAUAAGCUCCGUCGUCGAGAGGGAAACAGCCCGGAUCGCCGGCUAAGGCCCCUAAGCGCGUGCUAAGUGGGAAAGGAUGUGCGGUCGCGCAGACAACCAGGAGGUUGGCUUAGAAGCAGCCAUCCUUGAAAGAGUGCGUAAUAGCUCACUGGUCAAGUGAUCGUGCGCCGACAAUUCAGCGGGGCUCAAGCACGCCGCCGAAGCCGCGGGCCUGCCGCGUGUUCCCUUCUGCUGCCACGCUGAGUGGUGGUGGGCAGGGGCGGUGGGCGGUAGGGGAGCGUCCUGCGCUGGGUGAAGCUCCGGGGUGACCCAGGGGUGGACGGCGUGGGAGUGAGAAUGCAGGCAUGAGUAGCGAUACUAGGGUGGGAAGCCCUAGCGCCGAAUGACCAAGGGUUCCAGGGCCAGGCUAGUCCGCCCUGGGUGAGUCGGGACCUAAGGCGAGGCCGACAGGCGUAGUCGAUGGAUGACGGGUUGAUAUUCCCGUACCGGUGUAGCACCGUCCAUGCUGACGUGCGGGUGCUGACCCACGCCGCUGUCCGCCGUGUCCUGCUGGGGGGCCUUCGGGUUUUCCCUGGUGGGUGGUGGGUGGUGGUCUGGGGACCCUCCGUGCUGGUAGGCAAGCGCAUUAACAGGGGUGACGCGCAGUGGUAGCCCCGCGGGCCUGAUGGCUUGGCCCGUUCAAGCGUGCGGCCCGGUCCCCAGGUAAGUCCGGGGGCCACCUGCCCUGUAAAGGGGGUGGGAGGGUGAGGCGUGAUGGUGACCCCACUGUUGUGGUGGGGGAUAGUAGGGUGAUCCUGUGGCGCCGAGAAAAGCCCCGGCGCGAGGUGCGAGCCGCCCGUACCCUAAACCGACACAGGUGGUCGGGCAGAGUAUGCCUAGGCGCACGAGUGAAUCAUGGUGAAGGAACUCGGCAAAAUGCCCCCGUAACUUCGGGAGAAGGGGGGCCCGAUCCUUGAAACGGCUUGCCCGUUGGGGGGGAGGGUCGCAGAGACCAGGGGGAAGCGACUGUUUACUAAAAACACAGGUCCGUGCGAAGCCGCAAGGCGAUGUAUACGGACUGACGCCUGCCCGGUGCUGGAAGGUUAAGAGGAUCCGUCAGCCCCCCUUGUUGGGGUGAAGCGGUGAAUUCAAGCCCCAGUAAACGGCGGUGGUAACUAUAACCAUCCUAAGGUAGCGAAAUUCCUUGUCGGGUAAGUUCCGACCUGCACGAAUGGCGUAACGACUUCCCCGCUGUCUCCACCAUGAGCUCGGCGAAAUUGCAUUACGAGUAAAGAUGCUCGUUUCGCGCAGAAGGACGGAAAGACCCCGGGACCUUUACUGCAGCUUGGUAUUGGCGCCCGCUAUGGCUUGUGCAGGAUAGGUGGGAGACUGUGAUGCCGCCACGCCAGUGGUGGUGGAGUCGUCGUUGAAAUACCACUCUGGCCAUGGCGUGCGCCUGAACCUGGGCCCGUGAUCCGGGUCAGGGACAGUGCCUGGUGGGUAGUUUAACUGGGGCGGUUGCCUCCUAAAGUGUAACGGAGGCGCUCAAAGGUUCCCUCAGCCUGGUCGGCAACCAGGUGUUGAGUGCAAGUGCACAAGGGGGCUUGACUGCGAGACCGACGGGUCGGGCAGGUGCGAAAGCAGGAACUAGUGAUCCGGCGAUCCCGUGUGGGUGGGUCGUCGCUCAACGGAUAAAAGGUACCCCGGGGAUAACAGGCUGAUCCUGCCCAAGAGUCCAUAUCGACGGCAUGGUUUGGCACCUCGAUGUCGGCUCGUCGCAUCCUGGGGCUGGAGCAGGUCCCAAGGGUUGGGCUGUUCGCCCAUUAAAGCGGUACGCGAGCUGGGUUUAGAACGUCGUGAGACAGUUCGGUCCCUAUCCUCUGCGCGCGCAGGAUACUUGAGAAGGCCUGUCCCUAGUACGAGAGGACCGGGACGGACGAACCUCUGGUGUGCCAGUUGUCCCGCCAGGGGCACGGCUGGUUGGCUACGUUCGGGACGGGUAACCGCUGAAAGCAUCUAAGCGGGAAACCAUCUUCAAGAUGAGGUAUCCACGCCCCCUACCGGGGGGUGGGAGGCCCCCAGUGGAUCACUGGGUUGAUAGACCAGGGGUGGAAGGCCUGCAAGGGCUUUUGAGCUGACUGGCACUAAUCGGCCGAUACAAGCACACAC
rfam:Actinomyces denticolens strain PA genome assembly, contig: Ga0104373_129